rnacentral:rRNA from 1 species
ACUUCGGUGGAUUCCGGAAUACCGAGUGGCGGACGGGUGAGUAACGCGUGGGCAACCUGCCCUGUACAGGGGGACAACAGCUGGAAACGGCUGCUAAUACCGCAUAAGCGCACGGUAUCGCAUGAUACAGCGUGAAAAACUCCGGUGGUACAGGAUGGGCCCGCGUUGGAUUAGGUAGUUGGUGGGGUAACGGCCUACCAAGCCGACGAUCCAUAGCCGACCUGAGAGGGUGACCGGCCACAUUGGGACUGAGACACGGCCCAAACUCCUACGGGAGGCAGCAGUGGGGAAUAUUGCACAAUGGGGGAAACCCUGAUGCAGCGACGCCGCGUGAGCGAAGAAGUAUUUCGGUAUGUAAAGCUCUAUCAGCAGGGAAGAAAAUGACGGUACCUGACUAAGAAGCCCCGGCUAACUACGUGCCAGCAGCCGCGGUAAUACGUAGGGGGCAAGCGUUAUCCGGAUUUACUGGGUGUAAAGGGAGCGUAGACGGCAAGGCAAGUCUGAUGUGAAAGGCUGGGGCUCAACCCCGGGACUGCAUUGGAAACUGUCCUGCUGGAGUGCCGGAGAGGUAAGCGGAAUUCCUAGUGUAGCGGUGAAAUGCGUAGAUAUUAGGAGGAACAC